CAGGCUUAACACAUGCAAGUCGAGGGGCAGCAUGGUCUUAGCUUGCUAAGGCCGAUGGCGACCGGCGCACGGGUGAGUAACACGUAUCCAACCUGCCGUCUACUCUUGGACAGCCUUCUGAAAGGAAGAUUAAUACAAGAUGGCAUCAUGAGUCCGCAUGUUCACAUGAUUAAAGGUAUUCCGGUAGACGAUGGGGAUGCGUUCCAUUAGAUAGUAGGCGGGGUAACGGCCCACCUAGUCUUCGAUGGAUAGGGGUUCUGAGAGGAAGGUCCCCCACAUUGGAACCGAGACACGGUCCAAACUCCUACGGGAGGCAGCAGUGAGGAAUAUUGGUCAAUGGGCGAGAGCCUGAACCAGCCAAGUAGCGUGAAGGAUGACUGCCCUAUGGGUUGUAAACUUCUUUUAUAAAGGAAUAAAGUCGGGUAUGGAUACCCGUUUGCAUGUACUUUAUGAAUAAGGAUCGGCUAACUCCGUGCCAGCAGCCGCGGUAAUACGGAGGAUCCGAGCGUUAUCCGGAUUUAUUGGGUUUAAAGGGAGCGUAGAUGGAUGUUUAAGUCAGUUGUGAAAGUUUGCGGCUCAACCGUAAAAUUGCAGUUGAUACUGGAUAUCUUGAGUGCAGUUGAGGCAGGCGGAAUUCGUGGUGUAGCGGUGAAAUGCUUAGAUAUCACGAAGAACUCCGAUUGCGAAGGCAGCCUGCUAAGCUGCAACUGACAUUGAGGCUCGAAAGUGUGGGUAUCAAACAGGAUUAGAUACCCUGGUAGUCCACACGGUAAACGAUGAAUACUCGCUGUUUGCGAUAUACUGCAAGCGGCCAAGCGAAAGCGUUAAGUAUUCCACCUGGGGAGUACGCCGGCAACGGUGAAACUCAAAGGAAUUGACGGGGGCCCGCACAAGCGGAGGAACAUGUGGUUUAAUUCGAUGAUACGCGAGGAACCUUACCCGGGCUUAAAUUGCAGAUGAAUUACGGUGAAAGCCGUAAGCCGCAAGGCAUCUGUGAAGGUGCUGCAUGGUUGUCGUCAGCUCGUGCCGUGAGGUGUCGGCUUAAGUGUCAUAACGAGCGCAACCCUUGUUGUCAGUUACUAACAGGUUCCGCUGAGGACUCUGACAAGACUGCCAUCGUAAGAUGUGAGGAAGGUGGGGAUGACGUCAAAUCAGCACGGCCCUUACGUCCGGGGCUACACACGUGUUACAAUGGGGGGUACAGAGGGCCGCUACCACGCGAGUGGAUGCCAAUCCCCAAAACCUCUCUCAGUUCGGACUGGAGUCUGCAACCCGACUCCACGAAGCUGGAUUCGCUAGUAAUCGCGCAUCAGCCACGGCGCGGUGAAUACGUUCCCGGGCCUUGUACACACCGCCCGUCAAGCCAUGGGAGCCGGGGGUACCUGAAGUGCGUAACCGCGAGGAGCGCCCUAGGGUAAAACUGGUGACUGGGGCUAAGUCAUAACA
rnacentral:rRNA from 1 species